GACGAACGCUGGCGGCGUGCUUAACACAUGCAAGUCGAACGCUGAAGCUCAGCUUUUGUUGGGUGGAUGAGUGGCGAACGGGUGAGUAACACGUGAGUAACCUGCCUCCUUCUUUGGGAUAACGCCCGGAAACGGGUGCUAAUACUGGAUAUUCACUGGUCUUCGCAUGGGGGUUGGUGGAAAGGGUUUUUCUGGUGGGGGAUGGGCUCGCGGCCUAUCAGCUUGUUGGUGGGGCGAUGGCCUACCAAGGCUUUGACGGGUAGCCGGCCUGAGAGGGUGACCGGUCACAUUGGGACUGAGAUACGGCCCAGACUCCUACGGGAGGCAGCAGUGGGGAAUAUUGCACAAUGGGCGCAAGCCUGAUGCAGCGACGCCGCGUGAGGGAUGGAGGCCUUCGGGUUGUGAACCUCUUUCGCUCAUGGUCAGGCCGCAACAAUGGUUGUGGUGAGGGUAGUGGGUAAAGAAGCGCCGGCUAACUACGUG
rnacentral:rRNA from 1 species